GAGUUUGAUCCUGGCUCACGACGAACGCUGGCGGCGUGCCUAAUACAUGCAAGUAGAACGCUGAAGACUUUAGCUUGCUAAAGUUGGAAGAGUUGCGAACGGGUGAGUAACGCGUAGGUAACCUGCCUACUAGCGGGGGAUAACUAUUGGAAACGAUAGCUAAUACCGCAUAACAGCAUUUAACCCAUGUUAGAUGCUUGAAAGGAGCAAUUGCUUCACUAGUAGAUGGACCUGCGUUGUAUUAGCUAGUUGGUGAGGUAACGGCUCACCAAGGCGACGAUACAUAGCCGACCUGAGAGGGUGAUCGGCCACACUGGGACUGAGACACGGCCCAGACUCCUACGAGAGGCAGCAGUAGGGAAUCUUCGGCAAUGGGGGCAACCCUGACCGAGCAACGCCGCGUGAGUGAAGAAGGUUUUCGGAUCGUAAAGCUCUGUUGUAAGAGAAGAACGUGUGUGAGAGUGGAAAGUUCACACAGUGACGGUAACUUACCAGAAAGGGACGGCUAACUACGUGCCAGCAGCCGCGGUAAUACGUAGGUCCCGAGCGUUGUCCGGAUUUAUUGGGCGUAAAGCGAGCGCAGGCGGUUUAAUAAGUCUGAAGUUAAAGGCAGUGGCUUAACCAUUGUUCGCUUUGGAAACUGUUAGACUUGAGUGCAGAAGGGGAGAGUGGAAUUCCAUGUGUAGCGGUGAAAUGCGUAGA
rnacentral:rRNA from 1 species